rnacentral:rRNA from 1 species
UGGGGAAUAUUGCACAAUGGGGGAAACCCUGAUGCAGCGACCCCGCGUGGAGGAAGAAGGUCUUCGGAUUGUAAACUCCUGUUGUUGGGGAAGAUAAUGACGGUACCCAACAAGGAAGUGACGGCUAACUACGUGCCAGCAGCCGCGGUAAAACGUAGGUCACAAGCGUUGUCCGGAAUUACUGGGUGUAAAGGGAGCGCAGGCGGGAAGACAAGUUGGAAGUGAAAUCUAUGGGCUCAACCCAUAAACUGCUUUCAAAACUGUUUUUCUUGAGUAGUGCAGAGGUAGGCGGAAUUCCCGGUGUAGCGGUGGAAUGCGUAGAUAUCGGGAGGAACACCAGUGGCGAAGGCGGCCUACUGGGCACCAACUGACGCUGAGGCUCGAAAGUGUGGGUAGCAAACAGGAUUAGAUACCCUGGUAGUCCACACCGUAAACGAUGAUUACUAGGUGUUGGAGGAUUGACCCCUUCAGUGCCGCAGUUAACACAAUAAGUAAUCCACCUGGGGAGUACGACCGCAAGGUUGAAACUCAAAGGAAUUGACGGGGGCCCGCACAAGCAGUGGAGUAUGUGGUUUAAUUCGACGCAACGCGAAGAACCUUACCAAGUCUUGACAUCCCUUGACAGGCAUAGAAAUAUGUUUUCUCUUCGGAGCAAGGAGACAGGUGGUGCAUGGUUGUCGUCAGCUCGUGUCGUGAGAUGUUGGGUUAAGUCCCGCAACGAGCGCAACCCUUAUGGUCAGUUACUACGCAAGAGGACUCUGGCCAGACUGCCGUUGACAAAACGGAGGAAGGUGGGGAUGACGUCAAAUCAUCAUGCCCUUUAUGACUUGGGCUACACACGUACUACAAUGGCGUUAAACAAAGAGAAGCAAGACCGCGAGGUGGAGCAAAACUCAGAAACAACGUCCCAGUUCGGACUGCAGGCUGCAACUCGCCUGCACGAAGUCGGAAUUGCUAGUAAUCGUGGAUCAGCAUGCCACGGUGAAUACGUUCCC